AACGAACGCUGGCGGCAUGCCUAACACAUGCAAGUCGAACGAGACCUUCGGGUCUAGUGGCGCACGGGUGCGUAACGCGUGGGAACCUGCCCUUAGGUUCGGAAUAACUCCCCGAAAGGGGUGCUAAUACCGGAUAAUGUCUUCGGACCAAAGAUUUAUCGCCUUUGGAUGGGCCCGCGUUGGAUUAGCUAGUUGGUAGGGUAAAAGCCUACCAAGGCGACGAUCCAUAGCUGGUCUGAGAGGAUGAUCAGCCACACUGGAACUGAGACACGGCCCAGACUCCUACGGGAGGCAGCAGUGGGGAAUAUUGGACAAUGGGCGAAAGCCUGAUCCAGCAAUGCCGCGUGAGUGAUGAAGGCCUUAGGGUUGUAAAGCUCUUUUACCCGGGAUGAUAAUGACAUUACCGGGAGAAUAAGCUCCGGCUAACUCCGUG
rnacentral:rRNA from 1 species